GGGGAUAUAGCUCAGUCGGUAGAGUGCUUGCCUUGCAUACACAAGGCCCUGGGCCUGGGUUCAAUCCCCAGCACCACCA
rnacentral:tRNA from 1 species